rnacentral:lncRNA from 1 species
AAAUAAUCAAAAUUCACAUUUAUAUAUUACAAUAGUUCUAACAAAGAAAUUAUAAACUGUGCAAUAAUCUUCGCAAAAGAAAACUGUGCAAUAAAACAAACCAUGCACAUUUGAUCUUCUCGGAAUUUAUUGGAGACUCGUUUCUGUUGAAGAGCGCACGCAGUGCAUCCCGUUUUCUAACGAUCACGCCCCUGGCCGUUCCCCGGGCAAGUGCAGCAUGAGCGACGACGCACGGCCUCUAAAUGCUGUAAGCCUCCAAAUACAUAUAAUACUUUAUAUAGAUAAGCACAUCAUUAGCUACGGUCUUUGGCCCAUUAGCAAGCCAAAUUAUACAGCAUGCAGCACUACAGCCCUGCCGGCAGCUAGCGCUAGUUUGUCUCGACGGUGGGCACUAGCAUCAAUUUGUUUUGACGAUCCAAAUUCACAGCGCGUAGUUUGGUCUCGCCUCUCGUCUGUCGUCUCUAUCACUGCCAGUUUUGCCACCGGGCGCCGGGCGCGAUCAUUAACCACGAGGAACUGACAACAACAGCUAACGCAUAGCGAGGUGCCCCCGCUGAGGCUCAGCCUGGACAUUCGGUUUAAACCGACAAAUCGGUUCGGUUUGUUCGGUGCCUGCAAAUUUCGGUUUUCAGAAAUCAACCACUGAUCGGUUUCCUAAAUAACUCAAAACCGACGAAUUCGGGUGUCGGUUUGUCGGUUCGGUUAUUCGGUUUCAACCGAACAAGCCGAAGCUACCACAGACAAGGAAAAAUCGAGAGGAGAAGAACGAAUUGCGCCAAAUCAGAGAACGAAAUUGCACUACUGCAGCGCGGCUGGCG